rnacentral:lncRNA from 1 species
CUCCAGGCCAGUUGAGACCACCAACUCAUCAACAGGGCCCAUGCAGAUGUCCAAUAGGCAACCUUUUGACAAUAAUAGGCUAAAAACUCCACCCUCAGAUCAUCCUAACGCCACCAUUUGGUGAACAUGGGUCCUGUGUAGAGGCGUGGAGUCCGACUACGCUUGCACAGAUCAUCAGUGACCUCACCUCCCCUCACCUCCAAUCACCUACCUCCACAUUUCAGACCACCUUGACCCCAUUCCAUAAAUAUCCCUGAGCCCCUGUUUUCGGGAAAGCGAGUGUGAGGCUCAUGCUUUUGCUUCCUCACAUGGCUGCCUUGUGAUUAAAUCCUCUCUCUGCUGCCAUCUCGUCGUCUCGGUGUUUGGGUUUCUGGGCGGCAGGCAAAAUCGAACCUGUUCAGUUACAGCUUCUCGGAGAAGGUGGCUGCGGAGGGAGGACGGUACAGCCUCGGGCCUCCAGCUGCCCUGGGAUGUAGGCAAGGUACACAUUAUCCCUGCUCUGCAGAGGAGGACCCUGAGGGGUUUGGUACUUAUCUAAGGAGUCAAGUUGGGUGGACCCGUUCACUGUGGGAGGCUCCUGAUAACCAGCUCCGUAGAAUUCCACAGAAAGUCAUCGAAGCUUGGACUUAAAGGGGUGACAGUACCAUCCCUGCCCAGGCUGUCUGCAUUUUCUCAGAGACUCUGACCUGCGCUGUCAAAUACAGGAGCCACUAGGCACGUGUGGUUGUGGCUGUUGAGCCCUUGAAAUGUGGCUAGUCCAAACUGAGAUGUGUGAAGUACGUCUCGAUACAAAAUACGGAAGUUUGAAGACUUAGCACAAAACAUACAUGUGAAACAUCUCAUUAAUAAUUUUACAUUGAUUACAUGCUGAAAUGAUAAUAUUUUGGAGAUAGUAG